rnacentral:lncRNA from 1 species
AUGAUAGUGUCGAACCAAGUGGAACAAAGAAAGAAGAUCUGGAUGACAGAGAGAAAAAAGAUGAAACUCCUGCACCUGUAUAUGGGGCCAAGUCAAUUCUGGAGAGCUGGGUAUGGAGUAAGCAACCAGGGAUGUUCACGGAACGCCAGGCACCAAAGGGCCGGAAGCAUCCCCCUACAGGACCAGCACUUGGCCCUGGCCAUCCUGCUGGAGCUGGCUGUGCAGAGAGGCACGCUGAGCCAAAUGUUGUCUGCCAUCCUGUUGUUGCUUCAGCUGUGGGACAGUGGGGCACAGGAGACUGACAAUGAGCGUUCUGCCUAAGGCACCAGCGCCUCGCUUUUGCCCUUGCUGCAAAGGUUCCAGGGCAUCAUUUGCCGUAAGGAUACACCCCACUCUGAGGACAACAUGCACGUGAGUGUCAUGAUGGAACUUUGUGUUUAGGUGGCACUCGAGUCUAGUUAUUUUUUACGCAAGACCAGCGUGCUUGUGCACGGCAGUGUUUUUCUCUGGUGUGUGUGUGUUUGGUGGUAACAGCAGCAAGUCAGAUGAGACAGGUGUGGGAGGCCACUUGUUUGUGGAGAAGACUCAGAUCAGUGCGCGCCGACUUCCUUGUCAGCACAGAACCAAGCUUGAAACAUGCACUUUUAAAUCAAUACCAGAAAAGAACAACGAAAAUAGUGGCUUGCUUUGUUGGCCCUUCCUUUGUACUGAGCUCUGUGCAGGGCAUGUCACCUGAGCUGUCACUGUGUUUAGUACCAGCCCCCCCCUUAAUAGGUGUGGACGUCUUCCUGAACAGCCUGAAGCAGACGGUGGUGACCCUGGCAAGCAGCACAGACGUGCUGAGCACCGUGCAGUCGGCCUCCCAGGCCAUGCUGCAGAGCGGCUGGUCCAUGCUGUUGCCCACCGCCGAGAAGCAGGCCCGGGCACUCUCUGCUCUCCUGCCCUGCGGAGUUUCAGGCAAUGAAGUGAACAUAAGUCGAGGUCGUCGAUUCGUGAUUGAUCUUCUGGUGGGCAGCUUGAUGGCUGCUGGAGGGUUGGAGUCAGCCUUACACGCAGCCAUUACUGCAGAGAUCCAGGAUAUUGAAGCCAAAAAAGAAGCACAGAAGGAAAAGAAAUUGAUGAACAGGAAGCGAAUGCCUCAACAUUUCAUAGAAGGAGGACUCCAUUGGAUAAAGACCUUAUUAAUACGGGGAUCUGUGAGUCUUCUGGCAAACAGUGUUUGCCUCUGGUUCAGCUCAUACAACAGCUUCUUAGGUAAAUCAUAUUAG